rnacentral:rRNA from 1 species
GCAGCGGUAAAGCAACCCAGAUGUUACAACCCAGUCUGUUACACCUUAGCUUCUUUAGGAUGGCACAAGACGUCCUAAGGAAGAGUUGGGAUCGUGUGUGAAAAUAGGGUGCAGCAUACAUUCUUAAAUUAAGAAGCUCAAUUAUGCACAUGGGGGAAACCUGAAAUGUUUGCGGGUUUCUCCCUUAUUUUUUUUUGUUCUGGUUAAAAAGCUCGUAGUUGGAUCUCGGUUUCAGGUGAAUGGUGCACCUUGUGGUGUUUACUGUUUACUUGGACGAUUUUGUUGGUUCGUUCGUGGUUCUCUUAAUUGAGUGCCUUGAGUGGCCAGCACGUUUACUUUGAAAAAAUUGGAGUGCUCAAAGCAGGCGCUACAGCCUGAACAUUAGUGCAUGGAAUAAUGGAAUAGGAUCUCGGAUCUAUUUCGUUGGCUAUCGGAGUCGAGGUAAUGAUUAAUAGGGACAGACGGGGGCAUUCGUACUGCGACGUUAGAGGUGAAAUUCUUGGAUCGUCGCAAAACAAACUACUGCGAAAGCAUUUGCAAGAAUGUUUUCAUUAAUCAAGAACGAAAGUUAGAGGUUCGAAGGCGAUUAGAUACCGCCCUAGUUCUAACCAUAAACGAUGUCGACCAGCGAUCCGUCGUCGUUAAUUUUAUUGACUCGACGGGCAGCUUCCGGGAAACCAGAGUUGGAUUCCAGGGGAAGUAUGGUUGCAAAGCUGAAACUUAAAAGAAUUGACGGAAGGGCACCACCAGGAGUGGAGCCUGCGGCUUAAUUUGACUCAACACGGGAAAUCUCACCAGGCCCGGACACUGGAAGGAUUGACAGAUUGAGAGCUCUUUCUUGAUUCAGUGGGUGGUGGUGCAUGGUCGUUCUUAGUUGGUGGAGCGAUUUGUCUGGUUAAUUCCGGUAACGAACGAGACUCUGGCCUACUAACUAGACGUUAGAUCCUUUACGGGUUUGACGAUGCUUCUUAGAGGGACGGGCGGUUUUUAGCCGCACGAGAAUGAGCAAUAACAGGUCUGUGAUGCCCUUAGAUGUUCUGGGCUGCACGCGCGCUACACUGAAGAAAUCAGCGUGUGCUCCCUAUCCGAAAGGUUUGGGAAAUCCGUUGAACCUUCUUCGUGAUGGGGAUUGGGGAUUGUAAUUAUUCCCCAUGAACGAGGAAUUCCCAGUAGGCGCGAGUCAUAAGCUUGCGUCGAUUACGUCCCUGCCCUUUGUACACACCGCCCGUCGCUACUACCGAUCGAGUUAUUUAGUGAGGACUUCGGACUGGUCUUCGAUGUGGCUCUCGGGUCGUGUCGUUGUGCCGGAAAGAUGCCCAAACUUGAUUACUUAGAGGAAGUAAAAGUCGUAACAAGGUUUCCGUAGGUGAACCUGCGGAAG